rnacentral:lncRNA from 1 species
CAGAGCCAGAAAUUAGAUAUAAAGCUAGUGACUGAUGGAUCUUCUAGUCCUGACGGGAGCUAGAACUGAACAACUGAACAAAGGGCCCUGAUUCUUCAUUUAAGGGGGAGUUCAUCAAGCAGGGAUGAGGUUUCGGUGGGAGGCAUCUUGCUUCUAGAUGAGGUAGAGGUCUUGCAGUGAACAGGUUGAUUGGCAUUUUGGCAAGCCACACCCAUCUCCAAGAGGCUGUGUGGCUCCAGAGGGUCACCCAUCUCCAUCCCUGGUGCUGUGCAGAACUUGAGAUGGAGCUAGGCAGGAUGCCACAUGGACCAGACAUUCUCAAACCAGCGGGGUUACUGCUGGGAAUUCUUGAUACCAGGCUUUCCUGCCUAAUGGCUUCAACAUUGCUUUAGUUCACGCACAGUUCAUGAAUGGCUCCCCAAAAUUUCAGACCUCAGUGCCAGGCCUGUCCAAUCAAACCAUAUUGGCAACGAGCCCAUAGCCACAGACUUCAGACCAGUACCCAGGGUUAAAACACUAGGCCCUGGACAGCCACUGGCACUACCCGGGUCCCCACAGCACCAAGCUUCUGACCCAACCCAAAAUGAAGCUGUCCCCUGAGCCAUAGUCAUCAAGACUGGCACAAAUAGGGCCUCUGUUUAUGUAGACUCUAGGCAUUUUCAGUGCCAAGCCACAAAGAUCAGCCCCAGUCUUUAAGCCCUCACCAAGUUUCAGAGCAGUCCAGAGCCAGGUUGGCCCCACGGACACAGGCUUCAGACCCAAGCCAGCAUCAGAUUGGU